AAUGAACGCUGGCGGCAUGCCUAACACAUGCAAGUCGAACGAACCCUUCGGGGUGAGUGGCGCACGGGUGCGUAACGCGUGGGAACCUACCAUCAGGUUCGGAAUAACAGUUAGAAAUGACUGCUAAUACCGGAUAAUGUCUUCGGACCAAAGAUUUAUCGCCUUUUGAUGGGCCCGCGUUAGAUUAGCUAGUUGGUGAGGUAACUGCUCACCAAGGCGACGAUCUAUAGCUGGUCUGAGAGGAUGAUCAGCCACACUGGGACUGAGACACGGCCCAG
rnacentral:rRNA from 1 species